AUUGAACGCUGGCGGCAGGCUUAACACAUGCAAGUCGAGCGAGCGGCGGAAGGGUGAGUAAUGUAUGGGAAACUGCCUGAUGGAGGGGGAUAACUACUGGAAAAGGUAGCUAAUACCGCAUACCAUCAGAUGUGCCCAGAUGGGAUUAGCUAGUAGGUGGGGUAAUGGCUCCCCUAGGCGACGAGUCCUAGCUGGUCUGAGAGGAUUACCAGCCACACUGGAACUGAGCCACGGUCCAGACUCCGACUGGAGGCAGCAGUGGGGAAUAGUGCACAAUGGGCGCAAGCCUGAUGCAGCCAUGCCGCGUGUGUGAAUAAGUCCUUCGGGUUGUAAAGCACUUUCAGCGAGGAGGCGUUACUCGCAGAAGAAGCACCGGCUAACUCCGUGCCAGCAGCCGCGGUAAUUC
rnacentral:rRNA from 1 species